GGCACAAUGAAAACACCACAAUGAUAUGAGAAUGGGACGGAAUUGUCCUUGGCAUCUAGAAGUACAGCUCUGUAAGUGAAACGAGAACAUCCUUGCCCACCCAAAGNCUUUAUGGUGGUUGCUGAGAAAGAUAUUUCUACUGAUUAGCUCCUAAUUGCAGAUCUUCAAGAGAGUACAAUAUGUCAGAACCACUGGAAUAUUCUCUACGAAUCCGAUUCUCAUUUUCAAUCAUUUUCAACAGCUUCAUGCAGACCAGCAGCCUGGUUGCCGCUGCAAUCUAGAGAACGAUGAUCAAAUGAUGAUGUUAUCUGGAGCAAAUCAGUAGAAAUAUCUUUCUCAGCAACCACCAUAAAGGUACAAAGCCUAGGCUUGCUAGAUGGUUUCUGUGGGAUAGCGUGAACACUCAUUUUCCACCCAAACCGAAACUUAGAGAAUAGCAAACCUAAAACAUG
rnacentral:misc_RNA from 1 species